GAUCCUGGCUCAGGACGAACGCUGGCGGCGUGCCUAAUACAUGCAAGUAGAACGCUGAAGGAGGAGCUUGCUUCUCUGGAUGAGUUGCGAACGGGUGAGUAACGCGUAGGUAACCUGCCUGGUAGCGGGGGAUAACUAUUGGAAACGAUAGCUAAUACCGCAUAAGAGUAGAUGUUGCAUGACAUUUACUUAAAGUUAAGGCAAUUAGUCAUCACUACCACGAUGGACCUCGCGUUG
rnacentral:rRNA from 1 species